UGGUGGAGUGAUUUGUUUGCUUAAUUGCGAUAACGAACGAGACCCUAACCUGCUAAAUAGUCACGUGAACCUUUGCGUUCGUGGACAACUUCUUAGAGGGCCGUUUGUGUGUUUUAACCAAAGGAAGUUUGAGGCAAUAACAGGUCUGUGAUGCCUUUUAACUAAAGGAAGUUUGAGGCAAUAACA
rnacentral:rRNA from 1 species